rnacentral:lncRNA from 1 species
UUCCUUGUAGCCUUUCCAAACUUCUUCUUAACUGGCUCAUCACUAUCUUUUCUCCUAUUUUUUCCUGGUCUUCCUGGCAUAGCUGUAAUUUCAGGUGGUUCAAUGGCUGGUCUAUCACUUUUUGGCCACAUCUUCAUGUUUGUCAUAGGUUGAAUAAACCUAUUAUAUGCUUUCAGGUAUGUUUCCUUCUUAUACCAGUGAUCAACAAAUGUAUCAACAACCCAAUCCUUAUAAUGAAUUGUUGUAAGUG